rnacentral:rRNA from 1 species
UGAGGAAUAUUGGUCAAUGGGCGAGAGCCUGAACCAGCCAAGUAGCGUGCAGGAUGACGGCCCUAUGGGUUGUAAACUGCUUUUAUGUGGGGAUAAAGUGCGUGACGUGUCAUGCAUUGCAGGUACCACAUGAAUAAGGACCGGCUAAUUCCGUGCCAGCAGCCGCGGUAAUACGGAAGGUCCGGGCGUUAUCCGGAUUUAUUGGGUUUAAAGGGAGCGUAGGCUGUCUAUUAAGCGUGUUGUGAAAUUUACCGGCUCAACCGGUGGCUUGCAGCGCGAACUGGUCGACUUGAGUCUGCAGGAAGUAGGCGGAAUUCAUGGUGUAGCGGUGAAAUGCUUAGAUAUCAUGACGAACUCCGAUUGCGCAGGCAGCUUACUGUAGCAUAACUGACGCUGAUGCUCGAAAGUGCGGGUAUCAAACAGG